GCUCUGUUGGCUUAGUUGGUAUAGCGUCGGUCUCAUAAUCCGAAGGCCGUGAGUUCGAGUCUCACACAGAGCA